rnacentral:rRNA from 1 species
UACGGGGGGAGCAAGCGUUGUUCGGAAUCACUGGGCGUAAAGGGUGCGCAGGCGGGAGGAUAGGUCGGAUGUGAAAACCCUGGGCUCAACCCAGGGCCUGCAUCCGAAACCAUUCUUCUUGAGUAUCGGAGAGGGAAGCGGAACUCCAGGUGUAGGGGUGAAAUCCGUAGAUAUCUGGGGGAACACCGGUGGCGAAGGCGGCUUCCUGGACGAAUACUGACGCUAAGGCACGAAGGCUAGGGGAGCAAACAGGAUUAGAUACCCGCGUA